GACAAAUGAUUUGUCUUAAAACUUUGUUAUCAACACCAUGUUUUAGUGUGAAACUAAGUGGAGAACUGAAUCAACUAAUGUUGAAGAAAAAAUGGAUGGGUUAUGAUUAUGGGUGAAAUGUUACUCGAACCUAGAACUACUUGGUUCUUCUCGAAAUAUUGAGGCGCAAUAGUUGACUAGACUCUGAAUAUUAGAUAUGACUUCAAAAUAACAAGGACCAAGGUCGGUCAGUCACACAAUGGAGGAUAAGCUUCAUCUUCGAGAAGGAAACAACCUUAAUCACCAACUAAGGCCCUUAAAUGGUCGCUCAAUGAUAAAGGAGGUAGGGGUGUAGAGAAAAUCAGGAGGUUUGCCCAGAAGUAGCCACUUUUUAAAGGUGCGUAAUAGCUCACUGAUCAAGCGCUCUUGCAUCGAAGAUGAACAUGGCAAAGUGAUCUAUUGAAGCGGUGGGAUGUCAAAAUAAAUCGAUAGGAGAAUGUUCCGCCUUAGAGGGAAGGACCCACGCGAGUUGUGUUGGACGAAGCUGAAACGAUAAUGUC
rnacentral:ncRNA from 1 species